rnacentral:misc_RNA from 1 species
GCUAGAGUGAUAGCUAGAAGGAGCAGGCAGAUGGCGUAUUGAGUGGGCGAAGGCUCUGCGAACCAUCAUUGCCCUUUGGUUUUCCAUAGCCAAGUAAGCGGAUCACGGCCCUUACCUUUUCAUUUUCAUAGCAUUUCCAUCAAGAUCUGAUCUGUUUCUGUCUUGAGAAUCCUGAACAAUCGUUACCAUUAUGGAAGCAAAUGCGGGCAUGGUGGCCGGUUCCUACCGGAGGAACGAGUUGGUCCGGAUUCGCCACGAUUCCGAUAGUGGGCCAAAACCCCUCAA